rnacentral:tRNA from 1 species
GGAGGGUUCGCCUAACGGCAUGGCACUAGUCUUGAAAACUAGCGGGAGAAAUCCCUUACAGGUUCGAAUCCUGUACCCUCCGCCG